rnacentral:tRNA from 1 species
AGUUAAUUAGUUUUAGAUAAACAUAUGUUUUGAAAACAUAAAAAUAGAAGUUUAAUUCUUCUAUUAACUU